GGCACUUCACUAUCAAAAGCCGGACGGCGCAACCAUUCAACGCCACGCGUACAAUUUGUAUCAUGUUUCCCCUUUUGCAUCGCAUUAUCCUUUAAGUGUCCGCACACAAGUGGACGCGUGUAACACGACAAAGGAACGACGUACGCGAAAAGACCGGAAACUCAUAUGCUGUCAUCGAAACAAAGCCAAGUUGGUGCCGUUAUAAUGUUGUGAGGGACAUCCUGGCUACUUCCUAAACAUCCUAAAUGUCACGUGACGGCAGUGUGUCUGCUACCUGGUCUGUCGUCUGCUACGUGGUGCCGAGUUUCAUGGCGGCUUGUUAACGAUUCGGAGCACGAAGUCACAGACGAAUGGACGGGCAUCUGACGAUCAGCAAGCCGGCAACGUUGAAGACCUUCACAGUAAGAGGAGGCCUGCUAUGUGCCAUAGGGUGCAUGAUCAUCUUCUUCUGUGCUGUCUUCGAUAAAUAUGAGUUCGCAAUAACAGCCUGCAAAUAUAAAUUCCAAGG